GUGCUUGCUUCAGUAGCACAUAAACUAAAAUUGGAAGAAUACAGAGAAGAUUAUCAUGGCCCCUGCACAAGGAGGACACACAAAUUCUUGAAGUGUUCCAUAUUUUU